rnacentral:rRNA from 1 species
UACAGAGGUUGCAAGCGUUGUUCGGAAUCACUGGGCGUAAAGAGUUCGUAGGCGGACUUAUUAGUAUGUGGUUAAAGACCGGGGCCUAACUUCGGGAGUGCUGCAUAAACGGUAAGUCUAGAGUAUCAGAGAGGAUAGUGGAAUUCCUGGUGUAGAGGUGAAAUUCGUAGAUAUCAGGAGGAACAUCAGUGGCGAAGGCGACUGUCUGGAUGAGCACUGACGCUAAAGAACGAAAGUGUGGGGAGCAAACAGG